GACGAACGCUGGCGGCGUGCCUAAUACAUGCAAGUCGAGCGGACGAAUCGAAAGCUUGCUUUUGAUUCGUUAGCGGCGGACGGGUGAGUAACACGUGGGCAACCUGCCCUGUAGACGGGGGUAACACCGAGAAAUCGGUGCUAAUACCGGAUAACACGAAAUGUCGCAUGACGUUUCGUUGAAAGACGGCGCAAGCUGUCGCUACAGGAUGGGCCCGCGGCGCAUUAGCUAGUUGGUGAGGUAACGGCUCACCAAGGCGACGAUGCGUAGCCGACCUGAGAGGGUGAUCGGCCACACUGGGACUGAGACACGGCCCAGACUCCUACGGGAGGCAGCAGUAGGGAAUCUUCCGCAAUGGACGAAAGUCUGACGGAGCAACGCCGCGUGAGCGAAGAAGGCCUUCGGGUCGUAAAGCUCUGUUGUUAGGGAAGAACAAGUAACGCAGUAACUGGCGUUACCGUGACGGUACCUAACGAGAAAGCCACGGCUAACUACGUG
rnacentral:rRNA from 1 species